UGGGGCACAGCGGUUGUUUGCAGGGGCAUUUUAGAAGGAUGCCAUACUUGCUGGGGCACAGCGGUCGGUUGCUUCUGCUGCAGGGUAAUUUGAGCAGGAUGCCACACUUGCUGAGGCAAGGCGGUCGGUUGCUUCUGCAGCAUUUGAUUAGGAUGCCAAACUUGCUGGGGCACAGCGGUCGGUUGCUUCUGCUGCAGGGGAAUUUGAGCUGGAUGCCACACUUGCUGGGGCACGGCGGUCGGUUGCUUAUGCAUCAGCAUGUGAGCUUGAUGCCACACUUGCUGGGGCACGGCAGUCGGUUGCUUAUGCGUCAACAUGUGAGCUUGAUGCCACACUUGCUGGGGCACGGCAGUCGAUGGUUGCGUCAGCAUGUGAGCUUGAUGCCACACCUGCUGGGGCACAGUUGUCGGUUGCCUCUGCGGCUGAGCUUCUGCGGCUGGUUGCUUCUGAUGCAGGGGCAUUUGAACUGGAUACCACACUUGCUGCGGCACGGCGGUCGGUUCCUUCUGCUGCAGGGGCAUUUGAGCUGGAUGCCACUCUUGCUGGGGCACGGCGGUCGGUUCCUUCUGCUGUAGGGGCAUUUGAGCUGGAUGCCACACUUCCUGGGGCACAGCGGUCGGUUGCUUAUGCUUCAGCAUGUGAGCUUGAUGCCACACUUGCUGGGGCACGGCGGUCGGUGGUUGCGGCAGCAUUUGAGCUUGAUGCCCCACUUGCUGGAGCACGGCGGUCUGUUGCUUCUGCAGCAUUUGAACUGGAUACCACACUUGCUGAGGUUGCUGGGACAUGGGGGCCAAGUCCUUCCGCAGGAUGGCGGCCGGAUGUUUCUGUUGCGCUUGCAUUUGAGAUUUUGGAGACUUAUAAUUGCUAUAUCCUAGAGACCGAAGUGAUCCUGCGUCAAGCCAUGCUGCAUUAGAAUCCAGUGCAGGAGACCAAUCACCUAGGUUAAAAAUAUAAACUGUAAAAUGCCAGCCUUUGAAGGUUAUGGAACUGCGUAGCUGUUAUUUGAAAUUAACUCACCUUCUGAUGUAGAACACGUUAUCCCUCCAAUUAGCAGGCAACAAAGCCAAGAAACGCUUGAGGAAAGAGAAUGUAUGUUAUAAACAUAGAUACCUGUAACACCUGAAGGACAAGGGAAACAAACUAAAUCAAUACUUAAAAACAUACCUGAAAGCGAUUCCAAUCAUCACAGCCAUUUUGCCCUCAAAACCUCACCAGUAUUCAGCACUAAUGGUAGGCAUACAUCCUACCAGAAUAUCCCUUUUACUAUAUUUGCCAGAUGUUUGGUUGCUCCUUUUAAAGGAAUCCCAGAUCCUUCUAAUGUUGUUGGCUAAUUAAGGACAGCUGUCAGCCACUGAACUAC
rnacentral:lncRNA from 13 species